rnacentral:rRNA from 1 species
UGGGGAAUCUUGGACAAUGGGCGCAAGCCUGAUCCAGCCAUGCCGCGUGAGUGAAGAAGGCCUUAGGGUUGUAAAGCUCUUUUGCCAGGGACGAUAAUGACGGUACCUGGAGAAUAAGCCCCGGCAAACUUCGUGCCAGCAGCCGCGGUAAUACGAAGGGGGCUAGCGUUGUUCGGAUUUACUGGGCGUAAAGCGCACGUAGGCGGAUUGUUAAGUCAGGGGUGAAAUCCCGGAGCUCAACUCCGGAACUGCCUUUGAUACUGGCAAUCUUGAGGCUGGAAGAGGUUAGUGGAAUUCCCAGUGUAGAGGUGAAAUUCGUAGAUAUUGGGAAGAACACCAGUGGCGAAGGCGGCUAACUGGUCCAGAUCUGACGCUGAGGUGCGAAAGCGUGGGGAGCAAACAGG